rnacentral:rRNA from 1 species
UACGCUAUCUGGUGGAUGGCUUGGCUUGGGUGCUGACGAAGGGCGUGGCAAGCUGCGAUAAGCCCCGGGGAGACGCACGCAGUCUUAGAUCCGGGGAUCCCCGAAUGGGACUUCCUGGCGGCUUCGGCCGCCGCUCCGUGAGGAGCGGGA